rnacentral:misc_RNA from 1 species
GAUGAACUUGACUAUUGUCACAAGCUCCUUGAGGAAGAUGUUUUUAAUAAUUCUGCAUGGAAUCAGAGAUACUUUGUCAUAACCAGAUCUCCCUUACUGGGUGGCCUAAAAGCCAUGAGAGAGUCUGAAGUGAGUUAUACUGUUGAAGCGAUUCUUGCGCAUCCUGAAAACGAGAGUUCUUGGAGAUAUCUGCGCGGACUUUAUGCGGGUGACACACAGUCAUGGAUUAGUGCUCCUCAAGUUUCUUCUGUCUGCUUGAAAGUUUUGAGCGGAAAAAGUAACUUUGUAUUUGCUUUGAGCACCCUGUUGGAUCUUCUCUGCCAUGGUUUCCAAUCAAGCCAAGAG